rnacentral:rRNA from 1 species
AGUGAACGCUGGCGGUAGGCCUAACACAUGCAAGUCGAACGGCAGCACAGUAAGAGCUUGCUCUUACGGGUGGCGAGUGGCGGACGGGUGAGGAAUACAUCGGAAUCUACUUUUUCGUGGGGGAUAACGUAGGGAAACUUAGGCUAAUACCGCAUACGACCUACGGGUGAAAGCAGGGGUUCUUCGGACCUUGCGCGAUUGAAUGAGCCGAUGUCGGAUUAUCUAGUUGGCGGGGUAAAGGCCCACCAAGGCGACGAUCCGUAGCUGGUCUGAGAGGAUGAUCAGCCACACUGGAACUGAGACACGGUCCAGACUCCUACGGGAGGCAGCAGUGGGGAAUAUUGGACAAUGGGCGCAAGCCUGAUCCAGCCAUACCGCGUGGGUGAAGAAGGCCUUCGGGUUGUAAAGCCCUUUUGUUGGGAAAGAAAAGCAGCAGGUUAAUACCCCGCUGUUCUGACGGUACCCAAAGAAUAAGCACCGGCUAACUUCGUG